rnacentral:rRNA from 1 species
AGUGAACGCUGGCGGUAGGCCUAACACAUGCAAGUCGAACGGCAGCACAGUAAGAGCUUGCUCUUACGGGUGGCGAGUGGCGGACGGGUGAGGAAUACAUCGGAAUCUACUUUUUCGUGGGGGAUACGUAGGGAAACUUACGCUCAUACCGCAUACGACCUACGGGUGAAAGCAGGGGAUCUUCGUACCUUGCGCGAUUGAAUGAGCCGAUGUCGGAUUAGCUAGUUGGCGGGGUAAAGGCCCACCAAGGCGACGAUCCGUAGCUGGUCUGAGGGGAUGAUCAGCCACACUGGAACUGAGACACGGUCCAGACUCCUACGGGAGGCAGCAGUGGGGAAUAUUGGACAAUGGGCGCAAGCCUGAUCCAGCCAUACCGCGUGGGUGAAGAAGGCCUUCGGGUUGUAAAGCCCUUUUGUUGGGAAAGAAAAGCAGCAGGUUAAUACCCAGCUGUUCUGACGGUACCCAAAGAAUAAGCACCGGCUAACUUCGUG